rnacentral:rRNA from 1 species
UACAGAGGGGGCAAGCGUUGUUCGGAAUUACUGGGCGUAAAGGGCGCGUAGGCGGUCUGUUAAGUUCGGUGUGAAAGCCCCCGGCUCACCUGGGGAACUGCGCCGGAAACCGACAGACUCGAGUACCGGAGAGGAGGGUGGAAUUCCUGGUGUAGCGGUGAAAUGCGUAGAGAUCUGGAGGAACACCGAUGGCGAAGGCAGCCUUCUGGGCCAACACUGACGCUCAUGCACGAAAGCGUGGGGGAGCAAACAGG